AUUGAACGCUGGCGGCAGGCCUAACACAUGCAAGUCGGACGGUAGCACAGAGGAGCUUGCUCCUCGGGUGACGAGUGGCGGACGGGUGAGUAAUGUCUGGGGAUCUGCCCGAUAGAGGGGGAUAACCACUGGAAACGGCGGCUAAUACCGCAUAACGUCGCAAGACCAAAGAGGGGGACCUUCGGGCCUCUCACUAUCGGAUGAACCCAGAUGGGAUUAGCUAGUAGGCGGGGUAAUGGCCCACCUAGGCGACGAUCCCUAGCUGGUCUGAGAGGAUGACCAGCCACACUGGAACUGAGACACGGUCCAGACUCCUACGGGAGGCGGCAGUGGGGAAUAUUGCACAAUGGGCGCAAGCCUGAUGCAGCCAUGCCGCGUGUAUGAAGAAGGCCUUCGGGUUGUAAAGUACUUUCAGCGGGGAGGAAGGCGGUGCGGUUAAUAACCGCGCCGAUUGACGUUACCCGCAGAAGAAGCACCGGCUAACUCCGUGCCAGCAGCCGCAGUAACAC
rnacentral:rRNA from 1 species